UACGUAGGGUGCGAGCGUUAAUCGGAAUUACUGGGCGUAAAGCGUGCGCAGGCGGUUAUUUAAGCCAGACGUGAAAGCCCCGGGCUUAACCUGGGAAUGGCGUUUGGGACUGGAUGGCUAGAGUACGGCAGAGGGAGGUGGAAUUCCACGUGUAGCAGUGAAAUGCGUAGAGAUGUGGAGGAACACCGAUGGCGAAGGCAGCCCCCUGGGUCAACACUGACGCUCAUGCACGAAAGCGUGGGGAGCAAACAGG
rnacentral:rRNA from 1 species